GGUUGUGGCUCAGUGGGAGAGUGCUCGCCCAGCACACCUGAGGCACUGGGUUCAAACCUCAGCAACGCA
rnacentral:tRNA from 1 species